GCCCAUAGUGCAAGAGCCUGCAGGGCAGAAUGGUUUCAAAGAAGGUGUUCUCUCUGCCAGGUGGUUCCUCUCCCUGAAUUCUGGCACCAGCUUCUCCUCCAUUCCAGCCUGGGCCACAGAUGGUCUUGUUUCUGCUCUCCCUCUUGGACUUGAGCCUUCAACGUAAGAACAAACCUGGGCCCUGCUGGAGGAUGAGGUACUACAUGGAACAGAGACAGGCCACACCAGCUCAGGCCAUCCUACAGCAGCCUUCCUCUGGCUACAGGGUAGCUGACUAGAGACACGUGAGUAAGCCCAGGUGAGACCGGAAGCAUUGCUCAGCCCAGUUUGCCAAUGAGAUACAGCACUAUCUCCAAGAGAGAUGACCUAGAUUCAUUCUCUGUUUGACAAAAGCCAGUUGAGAGGAAUGAGAUCUGUUUCCACAUCAGUGAUCAGCCUGACCAUUGUGAUGAAAAGUUGGGAACACACAUAUAUUCAAGAGAAUGGAUGGACAAUACAGCAUAUUGGAAGAUCAAUGCCAUAUUGUUUGCAAGGUACUUCUUUUGCAAGCCCUCAUUUCCCUGUACUUGGAAACCAAGCAACUGGUCAAACCUGGUAACUGCUACUGCCGCUGAAAAGUAGCAGGGCCGGUGGAUGCAUCCUCACCCUCGCCAGCAUCAGUUUUCUGUGCGGCUUCCAAGAGGGGUGAGUUAUCUUCCAAAUGUCUUUACAUUUACUUGGCCAUUUUCUUUCUGAUUUUACAUUUUAUUUCCUUUAUUUUUUGC
rnacentral:lncRNA from 1 species